ACCUUAGUCUCUUCAUCUUCUCUCUUUUUCGUCACUUUUUCUCUUAAACCGCCGUUCACUUCUGAGACGAUUUCCCGGCGAUCCGUGAAGCUCCACGCGACGUAUAACAUAUCAAAUCGAAGCCCCGGAGGUAAGCUUUCUAAUGAGACCGGUUUCGCCCUGAUCCGGGAUUGUACACGAGAGUUAUCGUGAACCGCGUAUCGGGUGUCCAGAUCUGUUCUCUCUCUCUUCCUCUUUCUCAUCUUGCCCUAAUCUCUUCUUUCUCUCCUCUCAGUCGAGCCUCUCCCUCUCCAUUGCAAGAUGUGUGCGCCUCUAACUCCUCCUCCUCUUGAAACCGAAUCCAGUGAUGGUGGAUCUCCACUUCGUCAUCCUUCUCCUAUGCCAUCACCUCCUUCUAUUGCUCGCCCUUCUGUGCCAAGGUGAGGACCCUGUGCUUCACCCUCUCUUUCAUUCCUGUUCAUAGUAGUUAGUCUUCUCUUAGGUUAAGUACUAGAUCUGUGUGCUAGGGUUAGAUUACUAGAACCUGGUUCCUUGUUGAUUGACUGUUGAUGAUUGCUGGUUGUUGGAGGAACCUUGAUGACUAAACCUGAACUUGGAACUAAUCUAUGAAACCCUAAAAUAUGGAUUGAUUGUGUGUGAUCUGGAUUACCUUGUUUGAGAUAGUUUAGAUUGUGUGAUAUAGAACUGUUAGGUCCCCGACCCCUUUCUGUGGUGAUUGGGCGGUGUUUCUUGUUGGGCUAGUGGCUGGAUUGGGCUAGUCCAACGGUGAGCGGGAGGUACGCCGAUCCUCCCGGAGCCUGUAUGGCUGGAGGCCUGUCUGUGUGACCGCCUUGUGACCCUUUCUGUGUGAUUGGGGGUGUGUCCCUUUCUGUAGUGAUUGAGGACGACUGAGUGACUUUUACUUGUUGAGAUCCCUUUCUGUGGUGAAUGGGUGACCCCUUUCUGUGGUGAUUGGGUGGGCAGAGUGACACAGUUGAUAAGACGGUGAUGCUCUCCUCAAUGGGAUAAGGUUACUUUGUUACUUGGUAGUUGCUUGUAGGGUUACCCUUGUUUGCUAGCUUGACUUAGGAUUAGUCUAUCUGCUGUGUCCAUGAUUGUUAGAUGGUGUUGUGGGCCUCCUUAAGGUCCAUCCUCGCUGAGUAAUCCCAAUUACUCACCCCUCCUCUUUCCUUGUUUUCAUUUUCAGGUAGAUCAGUUCUGUCUAUAUUGUUGAUUGCUAUCUGGGCGUUUUCGAUCCUGGCAGACGUGAGGCUCACCAACUGGACCAAACCAGGCGUCUGACCGAAUGCGGUUAGAUGGCCAACUUAACAUGUCCUAUUUCUCCGGUUUUCUUAGGAAGUUUGGGAUAGGAAUGUUACAAUAAUAUUAUGCUUAAUAAUGGUCGACAUUUUUAACCUCUGGAUCAUUAUAUACCACGUAAUAACAUCUCUUGUGGUCAUUAGUCUCUCCACAAACGGAUUAGAUAGAGCUACGUGGUUAACCGCAACGCUGUGAAUUUCCGAACUUCCGCUAACGUCGGAGAGAGAGGAGGAGGUUGCUGGGCCUGCCGGCGCCGGAAUGGGCUCGGAACUCAAACCAUCUCGAGUAAAUAUAAUCUUGACGGAUUAACUAACUUUUAGCUGGGCUGAUAAUGGGCUUUGUCCUCAACUGAACUAAUGUCUGUUAUAAAUAAUCACAAUUGCUACUGAACUCAUCAAUUAGAAACCCAAGAACUCUGCCUAAAUAGAACACUUCAAAUGAUC
rnacentral:lncRNA from 1 species